rnacentral:lncRNA from 1 species
CAGAAUUUUGUAAAUGGCAGUAUGGAAAUUGUGAAAUGACGCAUAUUUUGGUGGAAAUUAAACUCAGGAAUUUGAUGCCCCAAUUUCCACGAUUUUUUCCACACGUCAUUUAAUAAAUUCCGCGCUUAAGUUGUCAAACAAGGAAAUUGUCAAUUUCUCCUCUUAAAUUUCCAAUUUGUGACUAAAAUCAGAAUUAUUUUUCCUCAUCCAAUCAGAGGAUAAGAGAUCUUUAACUCAUACAAAUCAAAAUACAUCCUAUAUAACAUUUUCGUAGGAAAAUCUCAAACCAAAUACACAUAUCCACAAAAGUAAGUUCUUUUUGAGCUAAAAUGUCCGCCACUAUAUCGGCUUGGUAAAAGGUUAAAAAAAUGGGAAUCUUGAGUAAAUAAUUUUAAAGAAGACAAGAAUGGUGCGACUAUAAAAAUGAAAUGGUCACACAAGAAACACACAUUACAUGCAAAAAAUGGAGACGAGUGCGAAAUAUGUCACAUGUGGCACAUAUGAAUGUCGUUGAUUAUAAGAAGAAAGAAACAAGGCGAUGAGUGUGUGUGGCGCUGGCGACAGAUCCUAACUUGUAUGUUGUGUAGGAGCAUAUUACUUUCCUCCACAAACUUGGUAAAUCUUGGAAAGUUGAAGCUUGCGGGGUUGGUGUUGGUGGGCCAUGCUCAUGUGGGUUCCAACUUCCAGCUAUAUAAAGGUCUCCGUUUGUGGCUCAAAAUGAUUAAGAGCAUUUACUCCACACUCAAAUUUUAAGUAUCGUUCUUUCUUUUUUCAGUAUCGCUUUGUUUGUUUAAAAAAUACACAAAAAAGUCAUGGAUCCUAAAUGGUGAUUGUUCUAGAAUUC